rnacentral:antisense_RNA from 1 species
GGCUGUAGAUUGGGGGUUCUUUUGAUGGUGAGGCUUUGUCGCCUUAUUAUUUAUUGCGAUUGUUUAGCCAAAACGUAAAAAUCGCAACUAUACACC